AUUGAACGCUGGCGGCAGGCCUAACACAUGCAAGUCGAACGGUAACAGGGAUCAGCUUGCUGAUUCGCUGACGAGUGGCGGACGGGUGAGUAAUGUCUGGGAAACUGCCUGAUGGAGGGGGAUAACUACUGGAAACGGUAGCUAAUACCGCAUAACGUCGCAAGACCAAAGAGGGGGACCUUCGGGCCUCUUGCCAUCGGAUGUGCCCAGAUGGGAUUAGCUAGUAGGUGGGGUAACGGCUCACCUAGGCGACGAUCCCUAGCUGGUCUGAGAGGAUGACCAGCCACACUGGAACUGAGACACGGUCCAGACUCCUACGGGAGGCAGCAGUGGGGAAUAUUGCACAAUGGGCGCAAGCCUGAUGCAGCCAUGCCGCGUGUAUGAAGAAGGCCUUCGGGUUGUAAAGUACUUUCAGCGGGGAGGAAGGGAGUAAAGUUAAUACCUGUGCUCAUUGACGUUACCCGCAGAAGAAGCACCGGCUAACUCCGUG
rnacentral:rRNA from 1 species